GACGAACCGUCCAACCGUUAUUCGGAAUCACUGGGCUUACAGAGUUCGUAGGCGGUCUGGAAAGUUGGGUGUGAAAUCCCUCGGCUCAACCGAGGAACUGCGCUUGAAACUACCAGACUCGAGGGAGAUAGAGGAAAGCGGAACUGAUGGCGGAGCGGUGAAAUGCGUUGAUAUCAUCAGGAACACCGGUGGCGAAGGCGGCUUUCUGGGUCUUACCUGACGCUGAGGAACGAAAGCCAGGGGAGCGAACGGG
rnacentral:rRNA from 1 species